AGCAGCGGAUCAAGGCACCAAUAUCAGACGAUCGAAGACAACUACAAGAGAUGCAGAACACAUGUUUUGGUAUUUCUAUGUCUGACAGCAUACAUUUGCACAAUGCUGUCAUAGCUCUUCUACUGUUGACAAGUGCAUCUCAAGGUACAUCUCAAAGAAUAAGCAUCGUUCAGGAACCUCUGGCUUUACUCUCCCAGGCAGGAACCCCAAAUGAAACACUUCGAUGUGCCCACAAUGAUUCAGAGUACUACAGACUAGCAUGGUACAAACAGGAGGCAAACAGCCCGGCAUUACAGAUGGUGGCCUUCUCUUCUGGAGCAACCAUGGGCACUAUUGAGCCUCCGUUUGACAAAGCUAGAUAUGAAAUAACGCGUAGUGAAGUGACAAUCUCCACUCUGGUGAUUAAGAACCUGGAGGCUGCAGAUGCAGCUGUGUACUAUUGUGCCCCCAGUUCAACACACUGA